rnacentral:rRNA from 1 species
UACGUAGGGAGCAAGCGUUGUCCGGAAUCAUUGGGCGUAAAGCGCGCGUAGGUGGCCUCGUAAGUCCGCUGUGAAAGUCAAAGGCUCAACCUUUGAAAGCCGGUGGAUACUGUGAGGCUAGAGUACGGAAGAGGCGAGUGGAAUUCCUGGUGUAGCGGUGGAAUGCGCAGAUAUCAGGAGGAACACCGAUAGCGAAGGCAGCUCGCUGGGACGGUACUGACGCUGAGGUGCGAAAGCGUGGGGAGCGAACAGG